ensembl:lncRNA
CAAGCUAGAAGUUCCUCAGGUAUGACUGGACAGCCUGGAGGAUGUGGGGGCUCAGUAGCUGUUGAGCUCAGGGCUGCUCCAUGUGGUGGCGAGGGGGCAAAGGUCAUCAUAUUCAUCAACACAAGACAGUGAGGUGAUUGUUAUGUGAGAAAUUCACGCUAAAGAUGAAAAUUACAAUAGUAGUUGCUCGUGUGUCAUCUUAACACAAUGCUAUCGUUUGCUGUGUUGACGAUUACAAACACUUGCUUGCCUUUAGCGCUUCUUCAUUAAAAGUGGCCCAUGGAUAAUAUGCAGUGAUGAAGAUACAUUUGACUACUGUUCAUUAUUGAACUACACAGUCCGACUGAGCCUUACAUGACCAAUUCCACAGCAGUCCGAAAGCAGACAAGCAGAGCAGUGCCUUUAUAAUAAUGUUUUAUUGAUGACAAGAAAAAGAGGCAGGAGUACAGGAGAGAAACAACAGUAACAACAAAAAUCAAUCACUUUCUCCAUGAAGAAUGCUCUGCUAGUCACCUUGCGGAGGAGAUUUCAUUCACCGUGCCGUCAGCCAACGAUGGCGUAACGGCCAUUUUGACUCCAAAUACAACAAUGGGGGUAUCUCAGGGACACCAGAGAACAGCCUCCAUGGAGUCUACAGAUCAUUGAAAUAAAAUAGUGAUGCUUUCCUUAAAGCCCCGCUUUGUAAAGCAUAUGGAGUUUGCUCACAGCUGCAGACCUUACCACGCAGUUAUUUGAGGAAACUGAUUAAGAUUGAAAUGACAAAUUAUGAACACUAGUGUGCUACAGGAUUAAUUAGCAUCACUUAGCAUCUAGCUGCACCAAGCCAGAGUCAUAUAUUCGAACAGCCAUGCAGUAGAAGACGGUGCGGAGGAGAGCGUCCGCAUGACGUAGCAGCAUACACACUUAUGGAACUACCAUGAAAUAUGACGCGCAUCACAUUUAAGCUUUUCUGAAGCAGGUCUGAGUGUGUUACUUGAGGACUUGUAAGGUUGGCACAUGGAUCUUUGACAAAGAAAUACAUGGAUAGCUCACAUUUCUCGGAGGUGGUAAGUGGCUUGAUCUACACAUGCAGUGCUUGCACGGAUACUUUGAGGACAGCAUAAGACAAAGUCUGUCAGGAGGAGCGAGGGAACAUUCAGCUGGUUUGACUCCACAUGGACCUAAGGCUAUGACGACACGUGUGCCUCUGCUUAAUUAUUGACUAAAAGGCACUCGUAUUUGUCUGAACAUGUCCCCCUGGGCCGCCAAAGUCAUAUUCUUCAUCUACAUUUAAAGGAGGCAUCGAGGGCUUCUUGUCUUCCUCUCUCUGCUUUGGUAUAAGGGAAUAGUAGCCAGCAGACUAGUAAAAACAACAUGGAGUGUUUGGAAAGACACACAAAAUAUAUUCUAGAAUCAGCAAGUGAAGAGAGGGCAUUGUACAAAAAAGAGUACAAAGAUUAAAGGACAACAAAAUGAGGAUACUAAAAUGUUUUGAGUGUGUAGUUCUUGCUUAACUUAAGUAGCAGGCCACAAUGAAGGCCAUCCCGUUUCAAUCUGAACUUGAACUUCAGCCACCAGAUAAACCCAGCGCUAUGGAAUAUAACACUAAAACUCGUCACAGUUGUACUGCAGCAUACAGGAGGGUCAAGAGGUGCGUCAAAUAGUACAUGGACACUCAGACAGCAGCUGAUCCUGGGCACGAUUUGGCCUCAAUUCAGCAUGCGUCUAUCGUUUUUCCAACCAACUUCAGAUAUAAUUCCGUACAACAAAAGCAUUCCCAUGGAAACAUAACUUGCUAGAAACCGUACCAUUUUAUCUUCACUUCUUACUUCUACUUUUCCCUCUUUUUCUCACGCUAGCAAACCACUUACAUAGUGUAUUAUUACAGCACAGUAUAUCAAAGUUGUUAAUGCAACUUCCAUCCUCUGCAUAAAAAAUAACUAACGUUACUAAAUUAUGUCAUGUAUAACUUCAGUUCGCAAUUUACCAGGGAUAACAAAUAUGCAGGAUCAAUGUUACCAUGACUUACAGGUAGUCAACAAACAUUAACUGGCUAACAAACUAUGUCAAUCAGUAACAAACUUUUUGACAUCCUGAUCCUAGCCAUUUAUGAAAAUCACUAUUGAGAGCAGAUCUUCAUCCAAUCAAUCCACAACAGUUGGGAGGAAUUCCGUCGCAUUUUUCUCACACAGAAGCAUGACCCCCCUGCUUCAUGUUUUGCCACCCACUACAUUUCUGUUUAGUAAAUGUCAAGUUCAAAACUUCACAAACUAUAUAGCACCACUGUAUUAGCUUAUAUUUAUGUGUAUUUUUCAUUUUGUAGAAUACCGGUAAGGGCGAGUCAAAGCAAUUUACCACAACUGCAGCUUAAUGAUCCCGCAUAAAUGAAAGAUGUCAUAAAUCUGGUAGGAUUGCACUGAACGUCGCAACCUGCCGGCCCAAACAAGCUUGACAGAGAAGCCUGAGGAAGGAAUGGCAUUAAAAUGGCUACUUGAAAAGACAAUAAAGGUUUCCUAUUCUAUUACAUUUUUGAUGUGAUGUCAUUACUCAUAAAAAAAGAAAAGAAUGUAAUACUACGCAUUUUUGUACACAGAUCUGAGGGAGAUAAAGAGUAUUUAUAGGUUUCAACAUUUGAAACAAGACACACACCUUAACCUUCUAGUGAGCAACAGUCCUAAACCUUCGAUUCCGUUCCCAUGUGAACGCAUUGGUCAUACGGACGUUGAUCUGAGGUUGGUUAGAAAGCGAUAGACGUGAUCUUGGCACGUAUCUGGCCCUGGUCCAGCGCAUGUCCAGCCCUAACCCGACCCUUCUCCGUUCCAGACUCAACUUCCAUCUGGGCACCAAGAGGAGCAUCUGUAUCAGACUCCAUUAAGCACUUGCCUGGCCCUUUCCCACACGCUCUCUACUUUUGAUCUUGUGGCACACUGUCUGGUAGACAAUAACAGAUCACAAACAAGCAAAAAAAAUCACACGCAAACAAGGAAACAAGUAACUUAAGCAUCAAAGCCAUUUCCCUUAUUCAGAGCAUUUUUAGGGCAAAUUAUCCAUCAUUUCAUCAGUACAAUUUGGACGGGACACGGUGUAGGCCCUCGUUAGGUAGUAGAUGUCAAUAAAAGUAACCUUUGUAAUGAAAUUAAAGAAAAUGAAACGAGGCAGGGGGAUUCUGCGACGCACAAAAGUACCUUUGCUCAAAUGAAAACAGGAGAUUUCAGAGGUCUUAUGACAAUAUUUACGACACAAUAUUAAUGACUGAAUGACACAUAUACAGAUACAGCUCACGCCAAUGAGAAAAGACUGAGGACGAGAAGUGAACUUUUACUGUAUCCCCG